GCCUAGAGUUUGGAAGACUUGAGGUCAAAUCCAACCAUAGACAUUUACUGUAUGACCCUGGGCAAGUCACUUAACCCUGCUUGCCUCAGUUUCCUCAUCUGUAAAAUGGAGAUAAUAGCACCUAUCUCACAGGGUUGUGAGGAUCAAAU
rnacentral:snoRNA from 1 species